UACGAAGGUCCCAAGCGUUAUCCGGAUUUAUUGGGUUUAAAGGGUGCGUAGGCGGGUUAUUAAGUCAGUGGUGAAAGCUCUCAGCCUAACUGAGAAAUUGCCAUUGAUACUGAUGAUCUUGAGUACAUUUGAAGUGGGCGGAAUGUGUCAUGUAGUGGUGAAAUACUUAGAUAUGACACAGAACACCGAUUGCGUAGGCAGCUCGCUUAAACUGUAAACUGACGCUGAGGCACGAAAGCGUGGGGAGCAAACAGG
rnacentral:rRNA from 1 species